GACGAACGCUGGCGGCGUGCUUAACACAUGCAAGUCGAACGGAGAUUAUUAAUGAAGCUUGCGAUUUAAUAAUCUUAGUGGCGGACGGGUGAGUAACGCGUGGGCAACCUACCCAUAAGCGGGGGAUAACAGUUGGAAACGACUGCUAAUACCGCAUAAGCUAUUGAGGUCGCAUGACCUAAAUAGUAAAGGUGGCGAAAGCUAUCACUUAUGGAUGGGCCCGCGUCUGAUUAGCUAGUUGGUGGGAUAGCAGCCUACCAAGGCAACGAUCAGUAGCCGGCCUGAGAGGGUGGACGGCCACACUGGGACUGAGACACGGCCCAGACUCCUACGGGAGGCAGCAGUGGGGAAUAUUGCGCAAUGGGGGAAACCCUGACGCAGCGACGCCGCGUGAGCGAAGAAGGCCUUAGGGUCGUAAAGCUCUGUUGUAAGGGACGAAUGUUUAUCUGGCGAACAGUCAGAUAAAGUGACGGUACCUUACCAGCAAGCCCCGUAACU
rnacentral:rRNA from 1 species